rnacentral:lncRNA from 1 species
UGGGACAAACACCGGUAGCUAUGGACUUAGUACCUGUUAGACGUUGGUAGCUAUGGAUUUAGUACCUGUUAGAAAUUGGUAGCUAUGGACUUAGUACCUAUUCGUCAGACGCUGGUAGCUAUGGAUUAAUACCUAUUAGGAGUUGGUAGCUAUGGACUUAGUACCUGUUGAACACUGGUAGCUAUGGAUUUAGUACCCGAUGAGUAGGAUAUAGCAGCUAUGGAAUUAGUGCUUUACGAACGAAUAUCGGCAGCUACGGAUUUAGUGUCAGUCCUAUAACCCUGGAAG